rnacentral:rRNA from 1 species
CUUAACACAUGCAAGUCGAACGAACUUAUACCUUCGGGUGUAAGUGAGUGGCGGACGGGUGAGUAACGCGUGAGCAAUCUGCCCAUAUCAGGGGAAUAACAGUUAGAAAUGACUGCUAAUACCGCAUAAGACCACGGAAGGGCAUCCUUCUGAGGUAAAAGAUUUAUCGGAUAUGGAUGAGCUCGCGUCCAAUUAGGUAGUUGGUGAGGUAACGGCCCACCAAGCCGACGAUUGGUAGCCGACCUGAGAGGGUGAUCGGCCACAUUGGAACUGAGAAACGGUCCAGACUCCUACGGGAGGCAGCAGUGGGGAAUAUUGGGCAAUGGAGGCAACUCUGACCCAGCAAUGCCGCGUGAGUGAAGAAGGUUUUCGGAUUGUAAAGCUCUUUAAGUGGGGACGAAGCCAGUGACUGUACCCACAGAAUAAGCAUCGGCUAACUACGUGCCAGCAGCCGCAGUAAUAC